rnacentral:rRNA from 1 species
UACGAAGGGGGGCUAGCGUUGUUCGGAAUCACUGGGCGUAAAGCGCACGUAGGCGGACUCUUAAGUCGGGGGUGAAAGCCCAGGGCUCAACCCUGGAAUUGCCUUCGAUACUGGGAGUCUUGAGUAUGGCAGAGGUUGGUGGAACUGCGAGUGUAGAGGUGAAAUUCGUAGAUAUUCGCAAGAACACCAGUGGCGAAGGCGGCUCACUGGCCCGAUACUGACGCUGAGGCACGAAAGCGUGGGGAGCAAACAGG